GGCUAAUGCCGGAUAACAUGUUGAACCGCAUGGUUCUACAGUGAAAGACGGUCUUGCUGUCACUUAUAGAUGGACCCGCGCCGUAUUAGCUAGUUGGUGGGGUAACGGCCUACCAAGGCGACGAUACGUAGCCGACCUGAGAGGGUGAUCGGCCACACUGGAACUGAGACACGGUCCAGACUCCUACGGGAGGCAGCAGUAGGGAAUCUUCCGCAAUGGGCGAAAGCCUGACGGAGCAACGCCGCGUGAGUGAUGAAGGUCUUCGGAUCGUAAAGCUCUGUUGUUAGGGAAGAACAAAUGUGUAAGUAACUGUGCACAUCUUGACGGUACCUAACCAGAAAGCCACGGCUAACUACGUGCCAGCAGCCGCGGUAAUACGUAGGUGGCAAGCGUUAUCCGGAAUUAU
rnacentral:rRNA from 1 species